rnacentral:rRNA from 1 species
GACGAACGCUGGCGGCGUGCCUAAUACAUGCAAGUCGAACGCAGUGGGGACGGGUGAGUAACACGUUGGUAACCUCCCAUCAGAGGGGAUAACACUUGGAAACAGGUGCUAAACCGAUACUGAUGGAUGGACCCGCGGUGCAUUAGCUAGUUGGUGAGGUAACGGCUCACCAAGGCCACGAUGCAUAACGGACCUGAGGGGGGGAUGGGCCACACUGGGACGGAGACACGGCCCAGACUCCUACGGGAGGAAGAAGUAGGGAAUCUUCGGAAAUGGACGAAAGUCUGACCGAGCAACGCCGCGUAAGUGAAGAGGGUUUUCGGAUGGUAAAACUCUGUUGUUAGAGAAGCGGUAUCUAACCAGAAAGCCACGGCUAACUACGUGCCAGCAGCCGCGGUAAUAC